AACCAAAGAUGCGAACGCUUUGUGGUUAAACUGAUUUGAAGAGCUUGCUCAGAUAUGAAAAGGAGAUUGCAAAGAGUGGCGAACGGGUGAGUAACACGUGGGAAACCUACCUCUUAGCAGGGGAUAACAUUUGGAAACAGAUGCUAAUACCGUAUAACAAUGACAACCGCAUGGUUGUUAUUUAAAAGAUGGUUCUGCUAUCACUAAGAGAUGGUCCCGCGGUGCAUUAGCUAGUUGGUAAGGUAAUGGCUUACCAAGGCGAUGAUGCAUAGCCGAGUUGAGAGACUGAUCGGCCACAAUGGGACUGAGACACGGCCCAUACUCCUACGGGAGGCAGCAGUAGGGAAUCUUCCACAAUGGGCGAAAGCCUGAUGGAGCAACGCCGCGUGUGUGAUGAAGGGUUUCGGCUCGUAAAACACUGUUGUAAGAGAAGAAUGACAUUGAGAGUAACUGUUCAAUGUGUGACGGUAUCUUACCAGAAAGGAACGGCUAAAUACGUGCCAGCAGCCGCGGUAAUACGUAUGUUCCAAGCGUUAUCCGGGAUUUAUUGGGCGUAAAGCGAGCGCAGACGGUUAUUUAAGUCUGAAGUGAAAGCCCUCAGCUCAACUGAGGAAUUGCUUUGGAAACUGGAUGACUUGAGUGCAGUAGAGGAAAGUGGAACUCCAUGUGUAGCGGUGAAAUGCGUAGAUAUAUGGAAGAACACCAGUGGCGAAGGCGGCUUUCUGGACUGUAACUGACGUUGAGGCUCGAAAGUGUGGGUAGCAAACAGGAUUAGAUACCCUGGUAGUCCACACCGUAAACGAUGAGUGCUAGGUGUUUGAGGGUUUCCGCCCUUAAGUGCCGCAGCUAACGCAUUAAGCACUCCGCCUGGGGAGUACGACCGCAAGGUUGAAACUCAAAGGAAUUGACGGGGACCCGCACAAGCGGUGAAGCAUGUGGUUUAAUUCGAAGCAACGCGAAGAACCUUACCAGGUCUUGACAUCCCUUGACAACUCCAGAGAUGGAGCGUUCCCUUCGGGGACAAGGUGACAGGUGGUGCAUGGUUGUCGUCAGCUCGUGUCGUGAGAUGUUGGGUUAAGUCCCGCAACGAGCGCAACCCUUAUUACUAGUUGCCAGCAUUCAGUUGGGCACUCUAGUGAGACUGCCGGUGACAAACCGGAGGAAGGUGGGGAUGACGUCAAAUCAUCAUGCCCCUUAUGACCUGGGCUACACACGUGCUACAAUGGCGUAUACAACGAGUUGCCAACCCGCGAGGGUGAGCUAAUCUCUUAAAGUACGUCUCAGUUCGGAUUGUAGGCUGCAACUCGCCUACAUGAAGUCGGAAUCGCUAGUAAUCGCGGAUCAGCACGCCGCGGUGAAUACGUUCCCGGGUCUUGUACACACCGCCCGUCACACCAUGAGAGUUUGUAACACCCAAAGCCGGUGGGGUAACCUUCGGGAAGCCCCCAAGCCCCG
rnacentral:rRNA from 1 species